GCCAACUUAGCUCAGCUGGCAGCGCAUUUCACGCGUAAUGAAAGGGCCCUCGGUUCGAUUCCGGUAGUUGGCU
rnacentral:tRNA from 1 species